AGAGCGAACGCUGGCGGCAGGCUUAACACAUGCAAGUCGAGCGGGCGUAGCAAUACGUCAGCGGCAGACGGGUGAGUAACGCGUGGGAACAUACCUUUUGGUUCGGAACAACACAGGGAAACUUGUGCUAAUACCGGAUAAGCCCUUACGGGGAAGGAUUUAUCGCCGAAAGAUUGGCCCGCGUCUGAUUAGCUAGUUGGUGAGGUAAUGGCUCACCAAGGCGACGAUCAGUAGCUGGUCUGAGAGGAUGAUCAGCCACAUUGGGACUGAGACACGGCCCAAACUCCUACGGGAGGCAGCAGUGGGGAAUAUUGGACAAUGGGCGCAAGCCUGAUCCAGCCAUGCCGCGUGAGUGAUGAAGGCCUUAGGGUUGUAAAGCUCUUUUACCGGGAUGAUAAUGACAGUACCGGAGAAUAAGCCCCGGCUAACUCCGUGCCAGCAGCCGC
rnacentral:rRNA from 1 species